rnacentral:lncRNA from 1 species
GCCGUUGUCGAACAUGUCCUCGGACUGCGGGUCCAGGGUCCAGUAGUUGCCCUUGCCCGGGUUGCCCGGCUCGCGGGGGAUCUUGACGAAGCAGUCGUUGAGUGAGAGGUUGUGGCGGAUGCUGUUCUGCCAGGCGGGGAACUUCUCCCUGUAGUAGGGGAAGCGGUUGCUGAUGAACUCGCAGAUGCCGCUCAGGGUCAGCUUCUUCUGCGGGCUCUGCAGGAUGGCCAUGGUGAUGAGCGCGAUGUACGAGUAAGGCGGCUUCACUAGGCUGUUCUUGGGCUUGCUCGGGGCCAGGCCUCCCGCCGAACCGCUGCCCGCGCCAGGCCCGCCGCCGCUCGCGCCGCCCUCCUCGCCGCCAACACCGCCCUUGCAGCCGUCCGCCUCCGGCGCGCCCACGUCGCCCCCCGGUCCGGCCCCGGCUCCGGCCGCCUCCUUGGGCAAUGUCAGGGGCUGCUGGUGGGGCGGCUGAGGCUGUCCGUGAUGGGGUGCCGCCGGGGGCACCUCGUCCGCCUCGUCCAGGCGCAGCUCCGGCGGCCCCGCGGGGCUAUCGCAACCUGCGUCGCUGUCCUUCUCUUCCAGCCCGUCGUCGCCCUCGCCCACCACAUCGAUGUCCACGUCCUCGGCCGUCAGCACCGUCUGGCCGGACAUGUCGCUGGCGCUGCCGCCGCCGGAGAGGGUCAUCCCUCCUCGGGGUUGGUAGCGGCGGCGGGGAGGGGGCAGCGGGCGAUGAGGGUGUUCGGGGGCUGCCACGGAGCUCAGGGGAAGAGGGUUUGAGUGCCCCCGAAAGAUGGGGGGCAGGGAGAGGGGAGGGGGCCGCAGGUGGCUUGGGGCCCGCUGGGCUCAGCUCACACUCGGCGGCCCCGCAUCGCGUGGCGCGGGCUCUGCCGUCCGCCCCCAGCGGCCGCGCUCCGCGAACUCCUGCCGUCCCUGGCGCUCGGUACUAGGCGCUCGCUACCGCUCCCGGCCCCGGCGGUUCUCCACGCCGCGCCCCCUCACUUAGCCCGCCUUCCUCGGCCUCUGGCCCUGGCGUGGGGCGCAGGAGCGGUCCAGGCGGGCGCGGGACGCCGGGCGCCGAGCAGCUCGGGAGGGCGCGGGCAGGGACAGUAGCGGGGGGGCAGGGGGCUGGGUGUCAGGGACGCCGAAGCCCCGGUAGUCGAAAGUCCCGUUUUAAGGACUGGCCUGAUAGAUUACUUUCUACUUAAAGAUCCAGCGGGAGGCGGGGCCACGUGACCGUGCGUGACGUCAGGGCCGCGGCCGAGCCGGCCAAACUCAAGUUGGUUCAGGGAAUUGUCAACAAAGGGACGAGAGACGCGCAACUCCGCUCCGCACUGUGCGCCAGCAUCCCCGGGGCACGGAGGGCGCUGCGGCCCGCCCGGAGACCCCCCCACCCAGGCUGGAUCCGGGCCCUGGGGCCCAGGGAGCGGGUGGGUGUGAGUGUGGGUGGGUGUGAGCGAGUCAGGGCGUGGGCCUGGGAGCGUCCGCGGGACUGUGCGACUGUCGCUGCCCUGCCUUCCCCGCCCCCUCUCCCUUCCGCCCUUCUCCCCCCCACUUUGUCACACUCCUUAGACAGGGACUGGGCGACCUAGAACGAGGUUCCCAUAUCGUGUUUUAAAAAGCAAAACUUAGUCUCUGUUUUGCUUUUUGUUUCAUUGUUUUUAGCUUUAAAGAGUAAGAGCAGCGCACCCGGCUCCCUCCUGCUAAUUAGAUUUCAGAUUCCCCUCUGGCCUCAGUGCUCAUUCCGGGGAAGACACCUGCUGAGAUGUCUUUUUCCCCCUCCCCCAACCAAACCACUCAGGUCCUACCUGCUCUUUCCCGGCUUGAUGCGGGCGUGUUUUCCUGUAUGUAUUUUUUCGUGCGGCCACAAAAAGCAUCAGCUGGGGUUCCCGAAGGUCAGAAAAUGGCUAUUGAUUAAUCUACUAGAAUAGUUGCCGAGAGAAAUAAAAACGACGUAAAAUAGCAGGGAACCUAUAAAUAAAGAAGCCAUAACUGGCUACUUGGAGUUGUUAAACGACUUAGCAUAUGAAAAAAUCGGAAAUGAGGCGCUGGGGAAGGAGCUGGGAUUGGCAGCGGCCUGGGUGUGGACAAAUCCUCCAAGAUUUAACUUCCAAGAAAACCGGCGGCGGAGCGGGUGGAGGAGGCGAGGAUGUGUGGCCAAUGCACGCGGAGUGCAAGGCAAGUCAGUGAUAGUAGGAAAAACUGUGGGGAUUUCACUGGGACUGGAGGGGGAGGCACCGCAAACCGACCCCCAAGUGCGUGGCUGGGGUGCGUGGACCUCACACCUCCAAGGAAAGUCAGUGCUCUUGACGCGGUGAAUCAGCGAUGCGCCUCCUCUUUCCUCCCUCAUUUAGGCCGCCUAGUUGGGAGCCGCAAGAGCCUGCCUGGUGUGGCAGGCACACGGAACCCAAUCCCUGUCUGUCCGCUGCGGCCUGGGAGGGGAGCGCCGGCCUCACCAGAGGAAGGAGCACGAGGGGAGGAGUUCCGAGAGGAAAUAAUUAGUGAAAUAUUUGCAGAAGAUGCUGGGAUGUGGAUUUAAUUCCGGAUGGACAGUGGUGCUUCUGAUUCCCUCAGUCUGUUUCCCCACCCACGAUCUCCUCUUUCCUUGGCCUAGACACACCAAAAAUAAUUCAAUAAAAUAAAAAUAAAAAUUUAAAAAUCUGUAAACUUGCUUCAUUACAGGCAUUGAGACACACAGAUUGACUUUCAUCCCCAUUAGACAGUUUCCCAGGAUAUAACACUACUCAUCUGAGGCUGGGAGCAGGGUAGGGGGUGGUGACACUAUCCUGAGACGCCCGCCAACCUCCACAGUUUUUCUUUAUCUAAAUGAUCCCGAGGUUGCACACGGCCCUAAAACGCAUCUCAGAGUUGAUUUCCGUAGCUCCACAGCUUUGUGGCCCGCAGGCUCCGAACCGUUUACAAUGCCGUCUAGACAGCUUUCCGCGAAACCGACCCGAGCUGAGCUGGCUGGCCAUCGCCCAGGACUGCAGAGGUCGCGUCUGCAACUGCCUCAGCAACCGAAGUGUCGGAAGGUCCAAAAAAAAAAAAAAAAAAAGCUAAAAAGCGGAAAUUUACACAUUCAGGAACCUCCUUUGCUCUGCUUGGGUUGCCCAGCCCUAAAGGCAGGGGCCCGGGGCGCAGCGCUGGCCCUGCCGCGGCCUUGGUGGCUGGGCCCGCGUGGACUAGUAUGUGUGGAUGCGCGCCGGAGGAUGGUGGCUACAGGGCUCCCCUCACCGGUCUCGAAGUAGUCUCCAAAUGAGCCUAAUUUCGAUUCCGCCGUCCGCAGAGGCUAGCUCUCUGGACUCCCUCCACGCUGCUGGUCGCUGCCUCCUACCCUCCCUCUGCCACGGCCCAGCCUGAUCCGUCCAUUCCCCGGUGUCUCCUUGGAACCUCCCUGGGGAAGGGGGUGGAGGACGAACAACUCCCAGCUGCCGGUUCCAUUUGUUGCGCUUUUUUCCUUCGACACAAUAAAAGUCAAAUUAAUUGAUUCAUACCAUUAAUUACGGCGCGUAGCGUGAAAAGCAACGCUUCCCCUCGGUUAGAGAUCUAUUGUGCUAAUCUCUUGUUCAAUCAGUGUUACCAUCUGAUGCUGGGUCCGGCCCUUACAGAAACUUUUCGACUCGAUUAGCUAAAUGAUGAGACGUGCACAACCUACUGGCUGCGGCCCCGACGUCCCGCGCCCGCGCCGGCCUAAUAUCGAUUUCCAGCGGAGGCAGAGGAUUUUUCCGCGGCCGCUCUCGGCUCAGGAACCGGCCGCCGGCUUUCUCCCUCCAGGCGGACCAUAGCGCCUGCACAACCUCCGGGGGCGGGAAGGAGGCGAAGCGGCGGCCGGGGAGGGCGACAGGAAGGUUCCUGCUGGCCUUGACGCAGGAGGCCGCCCCAGCGGAAGGGUCCG